rnacentral:rRNA from 1 species
GUGGGGAAUAUUGUACAAUGGGCGAAAGCCUGAUCCAGCCAUGCCGCGUGUGUGAAGAAGGUCUUCGGAUUGUAAAGCACUUUAAGUUGGGAGGAAGGGCAGUAAGUUAAUACCUUGCUGUUUUGACGUUACCGACAGAAUAAGCACCGGCUAACUUCGUGCCAGCAGCCGCGGUAAUAAGAAGGGUGCAAGCGUUAAUCGGAAUUACUGGGCGUAAUGCGCGCGUAGGUGGUUUUGUAAGUUGGAGGUGAAAUCCCCGGGCUCGACCUGGGAACUGCCUCCAAAACUGCAUGACUAGAGUACGGUAGAGGGUAGUGGAAUUUCCUGUGUAGCGGUGAAAUGCGUAGAUAUAGGAAGGAACACCAGUGGCGAAGGCGACUACCUGGACUGAUACUGACACUGAGGUGCGAAAGCGUGGGGAGCAAACAGGAUUAGAAACCCGUGUAGUAC